rnacentral:rRNA from 1 species
UACAGAGGUCUCAAGCGUUGUUCGGAUUCAUUGGGCGUAAAGGGUGUGUAGGUGGCGCCGUAAGUCGGGUGUGAAAUUUCGGAGCUUAACUCCGAACCUGCAUUCGAUACUGCGGUGCUUGAGGACUGGAGAGGAGACUGGAAUUCAUGGUGUAGCAGUGAAAUGCGUAGAGAUCAUGAGGAAGACCAGUGGCGAAGGCGGGUCUCUGGACAGUUCCUGACGCUGAGGCACGAAGGCCAGGGGAGCAAACGGG